rnacentral:rRNA from 1 species
ACGCUGGCGGCGUGCUUAACACAUGCAAGUCGAACGGUGAACCAGGGCUUGCCCUGGGGAUCAGUGGCGAACGGGUGAGUAACACGUGGGCAACCUGCCCCUGACUCUGGGAUAACUCCUCGAAAGAGGUGCUAAUACCGGAUACGACCACUUCGGGCAUCCGAUGGUGGUGGAAAGAAUUUUGGUCAGGGAUGGGCCCGCGGCCUAUCAGCUUGUUGGUGGGGUAACGGGCCCACCCAAGGCGACGACGGGUAGCCGGCCUGAGAGGGCGACCGGCCACACUGGGACUGAGACACGGCCCAGACUCCUACGGGAGGCAGCAGUGGGAAAUAUUGCGCAAUGGGCGAAAGCCUGACGCAGCGACGCCGCGUGAGGGACGACGGCCUUCGGGUUGUAAACCUCUUUCAGCAGGGACGAAGCGAAAGUGACGGUACCUGCAGAAGAAGCACCGGCUAACUACGUG